GCGGGUUUAGCUCAGUUGGGAGAGCGUCAGACUGAAGCAUCACUUCAUUCAAUCUAAUUGAUAUCUGAAGGUCAUGUGUUCGAUCCACAUAAACCGCA